AUGGCGACCGGCGCACGGGUGAGUAACACGUAUCCAACCUGCCGAUGACUCGGGGAUAGCCUUUCGAAAGAAAGAUUAAUACCCGAUGGCAUAGUUCUUCCGCAUGGUAGAACUAUUAAAGAAUUUCGGUCAUCGAUGGGGAUGCGUUCCAUUAGGUUGUUGGCGGGGUAACGGCCCACCAAGCCUUCGAUGGAUAGGGGUUCUGAGAGGAAGGUCCCCCACAUUGGAACUGAGACACGGUCCAGACUCCUACGGGAGGCAGCAUG
rnacentral:rRNA from 1 species